UUACUUACCUGGACGGGGUCGAUGGCUGAUCAACAAAAGCCAUGGCCUAGGCUAGUGGUCCACAUUGCACUUGGUGGAUGCACUUGCUUACCAUCUCCCCAAGCGGGAGAGUGGACGUCAUAAUUUGUGAUAGAGGGGGUACGCGUUCGCGCGGCCCCUGC
rnacentral:snRNA from 1 species